rnacentral:lncRNA from 1 species
AACUAUAAUGAGCUACCACCCGGUCCCAGGCCUCCCCGCCCCGCGGCCUCUGCUCCUUCGCCAGGUGGACCACUGCGGCCAGGCUCUCCCACCCGGGGGCGUGAGGCAGGGCCCCCCUGCUCCCUGCUCCCUCCACCCCUCCCCUCCCCUCCCCGCCCCCCCUGCUCCCUCCACUCUCCCCUCCCUGGCCCCGUCCCCCCGCCCCCACCCCCCCCGCUCCUCCGCCAAUCGCAGCCCGGCGCCCGCCACCGAGGCCCGGCAAGCAGGCGGCGGCGGGCGGCGGCGCGGAGGCCGGAGCUUUGUGCCCCGCGGCAGGUAAGGCGCCGGGCGGGGGGGCCGCGGGGAUCGGGCCCUGGGCCGGGAGCCUGGAAGGUGGGCGCGCUCCCGGCCCGGCGGGUGGCCCCGGGGCGGCGGCGGCCCUCCCGGCAACGGCCUCCCCGAGGCCGCGCGUGUCUCGCCCCGUCGGCUGCGCCCGCGCCCGCGCCCGCGCCCCCGCCCCGAGUGCGAAUCCGGCGCCGGCCGCCGCGUCCCUCGGGGGCACCCGCGUCGGGUGGGAAUCCGCCGAGCUUGUGGGGGCCGCAGGAGUCAGGGGCGCCCCGAAAUCGGGCCGAGCUCCCGGAGCAGCGGCGCUGCGGCUGCGGCCCUGGCGCGGCCCGAGGCCCUGAGCUGCUCGGGGCGGGAGGCGGUGCGCGGCGGGCCCGGGCCCGGGGAGGAGCGGCUGCCGACUCCCGCCGGGAGGAGCGGCCUGGGCGCCGGGGCCGAAACCUUCCGCGGCCGGGACCCGCCGCCUCCCCGCAGCCGCAGCCGCAGCCGCAGCCGCAGCCGCAGGUCGCCCGGCAGGACACCCGGCAGGACACCCGGCAGGUCGCCCGGCAGGUCGCCCGGCAGGUCGCCCGGCAGGUCGCCCGGCAGGCCGGCGCGUCCCAGCGGGGGCAGGUCACCCGGGACCGUGGCCCGCGCACGCCCGGCUUGCAGGCGCCCUCGCCCCCACCGGGCAGCCACCAUUUCCUUCUCUGUUCACAAGAGCUUUUAUAUUUAUUCGUGAGAGACACAGAGAGGCAGAGACACAGGCAGAGGGAGAAGCAGGCUCCCUGCGGGGAGCCCGAUGUGGGACCAGGACCCCGGGGUCACGCCCUGGGCCGAAGGCAGAAGCUCAACCGCUGA